rnacentral:lncRNA from 1 species
CACCCUAUCAUGGGGGGGUACAAAGUGUGUGCUUACACUCAAGAGGAGUUCUAUAUGCAUACAUGAUGUUGUGAAGGUAGGCAACAAGAAUGAUCAACAUCAUAUCAUUGUGAGGUUGUUAUUGAACCCCUACUCGAACUUGCAUGGUGGGAAUGACUUAACUAAGUGCAAUGGAGCCAACAUUAUAUCAUUGUGAGGCUUCAUUCUCUAGACGCCAAAUAAGAGGGGUACUUGCAAGAGAUGCAAAUGAGUAAGCGUACUCUCUCAUUAUUAUUGAUGCUAGUCAACAUCAUAUCAUUGUGAGGUGGGCUUCGUAAUGAUGAGUCUCCCAUACCCUACUAAGAGUUUCCUCCAAAACUCUCGAAUUCCGAUGAGGGAUAUGGAAUUUGCCAAAAAUAGUGGGUGGUGCUAUUUGAUUUAAAGACCAGGAUCAAAUGGUUUAAAAUCAAUCAAUUUAUAUUCAUUAUGUAUUUGUUUACCGAUAUAUUUGCAAACGCUAUCCAAAACUUGAUAAAGAAAAAGCCGAAAGCUUUAGUUUCCAGACUUGGUACUACAAUCCCAUAGAUUGUCUUUAAUGGCUUGUAUAUGUACCUAAGUGUUGGAAAUGUGCCCUAAAGCCAAUCAUAUGAUGAUACUUUACG